UCCCUGGUGGUCCAGUGACUAAGAUGCCACGCUCCCAAUGCAGGGGGCCUGGGUUCGAUCCCUGGCCAGGGAG
rfam:TPA: Bos taurus chromosome 25, whole genome shotgun sequence.